rnacentral:tRNA from 1 species
CAGAACGUGGCGCAGCCCGGUAGCGCGUCGGUUUUGGGUACCGAAUGUCGGGGGUUCGAAUCCCUUCGUUCUGA